GGUGCCGUAGUUCAGUGGAAGAAUAUCCGACUGUCUAUCGGAAGGUCACGGGUUCGAACCCCGUCGGCACCG
rnacentral:tRNA from 1 species